CGGACGGGUGAGUAAUACUUAGGAAUCUGCCCAUUAGUGGGGGACAACUAGAAGAAAUUCUAGCUAAUACCGCAUACGCCCUACGGGGGAAAGCGGGGGAUCUUCGGACCUCGCGCUAAUGGAUGAGCCUAAGUCGGAUUAGCUUGUUGGUGAGGUAAAGGCUCACCAAGGCGACGAUCCGUAGCUGGUCUGAGAGGACGAUCAGCCACACUGGGACUGAGACACGGCCCAG
rnacentral:rRNA from 1 species